rnacentral:rRNA from 1 species
CUACGGGUCGCACCAGUGGGGAAUAUUGGACAAUGGGGGAAACCCUGAUCCAGCAAUGCCGCGUGUGUGAAGAAGGCCUGCGGGGUGUAAAGCACUUUCGGUUGGGAGGACUGCUUCUAGCACUAAUAUUGUUGGAAGUUGACGUUACCUUCAGAAGAAGCACCGGCUAACUCCGUGCCAGCAGCCGCGGGAAUACGGAGGGUGCAAGCGUUAAUCGGAAUUACUGGGCGUAAAGCGCGCGUAGGCGGCUAGAUCAGUCGGGUGUGAAAGCCCCGGGCUUAACCUGGGAACUGCAUCCGAUACUGUCUAGCUUGAGUACAGGAGAGGAGAGUGGAAUUCCACAUGUAGCGGUGAAAUGCGUAGAUAUGUGGAGGAACACCAAUGGCGAAGGCAGCUCUCUGGCCUGAUACUGACGCUGAGGUGCGAAAGCGUGGGGAGCAAACAGGAUUAGAUACCCGAGUAGUC